rnacentral:lncRNA from 1 species
UAUAACUACAGACCAUGACCAACAACCCACAUAAAGCGUGUGCAAACACAAGUGAUUAAUGUACCAGGAUUUCAAAACAUCUACAACUAACGAGUCAGAUUUCACAGGGUGCAGGAGAGGGAAGAGGAGCAGAAGGGGAUGGGUGGGAACAGGGAUAUGCGUGGGGGGUAGCAGGGCAAGGGGCUGCUUGCAAGUAAAGGAGGAAUGAGGAACAAUUUGAUGAGUCUUAACAGCCUAUCUCAGGGCACUCCUGUGUGCUGCCUCACUGGGGCACAAUCCUUUGGUGGUAACCACAUCCUCAAAUGGUCACCGAAGAGAUGCAGGGAUAAUGGGUUACAAAGACAGACAUUAAUAAGUGCCCAACUGGCUUCAGUGGAGUGAUUUCUAACCUGAACUGCCACGGUUGCCUGUGGAGGAAUAAGGCCUCAGAAGCAUCUUGAUAUGUUGAUGUACCU